AUGCAUUCAUUGUGGAAGGUUAAUAGCAAAACAGAUCAUGCGAAGAAGGAAAAAAGAAAAGAAAAGGAAACAAUUUUUCAAAAAAAAAAAAAAAAAAAAAAAAAAAACAAGAGGCUUGAAAUAAAAAUGAAAAUUGGAGGUAGCAGAAAAACUACUCAUGCAUGCAAUGCAGGCAGAGUCUAAAGAUGGAUAACGACAGCAAAUCAAAGAGACCAGCCCAAGAUAGGGCUACCUUAAAUACUUAGAUUUAACUGAAAUAAUGUAACCUUGAAAAUAAUGAUAGACAUGCUAAAUUUUUAAAUGAGAUGGCGAUUGAGAGAUAAAAAGUUCCUCAAACAUUUCGUCUGAUUUCUCAUAGUGAAUUCAAGUAAAAGUUCUCAGAAUAUGCCUUUUAAGAAGGCCAUCUAUUUUGUGUGGAAAAUUUUGGGAUUUUUCUGAGGAAAAAUGUAUGAAACAUUGACAAACACUGGCUUAAAAGCCAAGACUUAAAUUAACAUGUAAAUUUAAGUUUCAGUGGAAACCUAAAAGUCUAUUGGUUCCAGUUUACAAAGAGGCCGUUUAGAAAAAUUGGAUCCAUUGAGUUUCCUAUACAGCAGAAUUGAAAUUACAUCAAAAAGCGUUGAAUCUCAAAAUCGAAAAUGGAUUAUUGAAUUUUCUCACAUUGUAUUCAGUUCAUAAGAAGAAAACCUGACGGAUCUUGUUAAAACAAGAGCUCUAAAAACUUAAGACAUUGAAGAAACAUGCGUUUUUGACACUAUGUCACAGAAUAGCGCAAUUGCGUGCACAGUGUGGCAACAGAGAUCAAUAACAGAUUCGUUCCGGCAAAACGAAACUGACUUUAGAAAACGUCAAAUAAAAAAUAUACACGUUGAAAAAGAUUUGAAAAGAACACAACAAUAUAAUGGAAGAAGACUUGAACACAUUUUCCUCUAAUACAAGACAACAUAAUCGAUUCCAAACCCUAGAUAUUCACACAAAGCCCACUUAAAUGUACUUUAAGUGGCAUUCCCUAGGGUAACACUGUUGAAAAAGAGCAUAAAAAAGAUGUUGUUCAGCAAGGUAAAAUAGAUUUAGUGCCGCUUAAUGUACGGUCAAUCUACCGAAUUCUACCUGAUUUGACUUUUUUAACCCUAAAAUGAUCUAUUGUUUGGAAUAAACGAAAAUUCUCACAGCGACCUAAUAAAACUAAAUGCAAAGAAACGUCCCAUCUGUGUGGUUUGGCCAAAGAGUGAUUGGAAGAUGAAGAUAAACUAAUAGAUGGAUAUAUUUAUUAAAUGGUGCUGAGCGAAAUGCAAAAUUUGCCUUUCUUUGAACACAUUCGAAACAAAUUUGCACCUAAUUCCACUGCGGAUGCAAUUAAUGCAAUUGCGGAUGGAAAAGUAUUUUACGUAAUGCUACUGGUAACUUUACACAAUAAUCGUCGUGUGAAAUCUGCAUAAUUCAAGGAGACUUGUCCAAAACAAAGGCAUUUUUCACCAAAGUUUAAUAACCCCUGCCAAAAAAUUAAUUGAGUAAAAUAUCUUAUUUUAUUUCUGUUAAUGAUUUGCUCACUUAAAGUAUGCCUUGGUUUGGCGGAUGGAUCUUUUAAAAUUGAUGCUAUAUUCACAAAUGAAAUUAACAGAAACAAUUCGAUGCUAAAACCAGAGCACAAUGGUUAAAAUCAUCCCAGGUAGAGAGGCUAAAUAAGUUUUUUGGAAUUAACAGAGAGUAUUUCAGCUCUUUGCGGAUAUAAGAAUUAGUUGCUUCUGAUGACAAUGGCAAUACUACAAUACAUUACUUAGUGCAAAAUUGAUGAGAAAAACUUGUAUGAAAAUCACUAUUGUGGGAUGGUUAUGAAUGCACCAGAAUUAAUCAAUUUUAAGUUGCUGCACAUUAUAGGCAAAUUCACUUUGCAUAUGAAGAAGGAAACAAGAAAGGGUAUGGAAAACUGUUUAAAGACUUAGAUCCUUCAUUCAAGAGAUGAAAACUAAAGACAAGUUUUUAACAUUAAACAGGGACAUUUUUACCAAAUGAGCGAAAAACGCUUUUUCUUUGGAAUGUGAUUAACAGUGAUCUUUUUUAAAGAUGACUGGGUGGCAUUUUUCCGGGGUUUAAAUAGAUUUACCUGAAGUCCAACUUUGAUUUUCUUCGUCAGCGCGCCCUCUGGGAAAACAGCCUGCACUUGGGAUACGACACUGGAUGAAACCAUGCCCCCUUCUGGACCAAUGGCAUGCACUUCUUGACGAAUGCGGGACACAACAGCAAAAUAGUGGGGGAAUUCAGUUGUAACGAUUCGCGUAAGGCGUGUGGUAUCAUCAUGUUGGGUUUGUUCUGAAACAUUCCAAGACACUGUGAGAGGAUAGAGAGAAAACAUAAUACAUAUCAAAAUUAAUUUCUCUUACAAAGAUAUUCCGUUUAAUUCUGUGAGGGUUAGAUACUAUGCUACUGACAAUUUUUACUUGAGGUUUGAUACUAAGAGGAUUGAAUUAUAUUCUUGAAAUAUUCUUAGUUGGCCACCAAUAUUACGUAGAUAGUUUGAUAGUUUUGAAAUAUUAGAAACUUACAUAACAAGGUUUGAGAAAUUGUUUUUCUUUCAUUGAAGUACUUUCGGCGGCAAAAAACCUGUAUAACCUCCUUUCCCUGCAGGUGUGAAUAACAUUUCUUCAGAAUUUUUACUGAUAUGCUAUUCUUUUUUUAAAGGGGUACGUGCAAAACGGGCCAUUUCACGCUCGUGUCAGAUACCAUUGAAACUUGCCCUAUUCAUUCAUCU
rnacentral:lncRNA from 1 species